GAUGAACGCUGGCGGCGUGCCUAAUACAUGCAAGUCGAGCGAACAGAUGAGGAGCUUGCUCCUCUGACGUUAGCGGCGGACGGGUGAGUAACACGUGGAUAACCUACCUAUAAGACUGGGAUAACUACGGGAAACCGGAGCUAAUACCGGAUAAUAUAUUGAACCGCAUGGUUCAAUAGUGAAAGACGGUUUUGCUGUCACUUAUAGAUGGAUCCGCGCCGCAUUAGCUAGUUGGUAAGGUAACGGCUUACCAAGGCAACGAUGCGUAGCCGACCUGAGAGGGUGAUCGGCCACACUGGAACUGAGACACGGCCCAGACUCCUACGGGAGGCAGCAGUAGGGAAUCUUCCGCAAUGGGCGAAAGCCUGACGGAGCAACGCCGCGUGAGUGAUGAAGGUCUUCGGAUCGUAAAACUCUGUUAUUAGGGAAGAACAAAUGUGUAAGUAACUAUGCACGUCUUGACGGUACCUAAUCAGAAAGCCACGGCUAACUACGUG
rnacentral:rRNA from 1 species